rnacentral:rRNA from 1 species
AGAGCGAACGCUGGCGGCAGGCCUAAUACAUGCAAGUCGAACGGACCCUUCGGGGUUAGUGGCGGACGGGUGAGUAACACGUGGGAACGUGCCCUUUGGUUCGGAACAACUCAGGGAAACUUGAGCUAAUACCGGAUGUGCCCUUCGGGGGAAAGAUUUAUCGCCAUUGGAGCGGCCCGCGUCUGAUUAGCUAGUUGGUGGGGUAAAGCCUACCAAGGCUACGAUCAGUAGCUGGUCUGAGAGGAUGAUCAGCCACACUGGGACUGAGACACGGCCCCAGACUCCUACGGGAGGCAGCAGUAGGGAAUCUUGCGCAAUGGGCGAAAGCCUGACGCAGCCAUGCCGCGUGAAUGAUGAAGUCUUAGGAUUGUAAAAUUCUUUCAGCGGGACGAUAAUGACGGUACCGCAGAAGAAGCCCGGCUAACUUCGCGCCAGCAGCCGC